AGAGUUUGAUCAUGGCUCAGAACGAACGCUGGCGGCACGCCUAACACAUGCAAGUCGAGCGCACCUUCGGGUGAGCGGCGGACGGGUUAGUAACGCGUGGGAACAUACCCUUCUCUAAGGAAUAGCCACUGGAAACGGUGAGUAAUACCUUAUACGCCCUUCGGGGGAAAGAUUUAUCGGAGAUGGAUUGGCCCGCGUUAGAUUAGAUAGUUGGUGGGGUAACGGCCUACCAAGUCUACGAUCUAUAGCUGGUUUUAGAGGAUGAUCAGCAACACUGGGACUGAGACACGGCCCAGACUCCUACGGGAGGCAGCAGUGGGGAAUCUUAGACAAUGGGCGAAAGCCUGAUCUAGCGAUGCCGCGUGAGUGAUGAAGGCCUUAGGGUCGUAAAGCUCUUUCGCCAGGGAUGAUAAUGACAGUACCUGGUAAAGAAACCCCGGCUAACUCCGUGCCAGCAGCCGCGGUAAUACGGAGGGGGUUAGCGUUGUUCGGAAUUACUGGGCGUAAAGCGCACGUAGGCGGACUAUUAAGUGAGGGGUGAAAUCCCAGGGCUCAACCCUGGAACUGCCUCUCAUACUGGUAGUCUUGAGUUCGAGAGAGGUGAGUGGAAUUCCGAGUGUAGAGGUGAAAUUCGUAGAUAUUCGGAGGAACACCAGUGGCGAAGGCGGCUCACUGGCUCGAUACUGACGCUGAGGUGCGAAAGUGUGGGGAGCAAACAGGAUUAGAUACCC
rnacentral:rRNA from 1 species